rnacentral:rRNA from 1 species
GCAUAUCAAUAAGCGGAGGAAAAGAAAAUAACAAUGAUUCCCCUAGUAACUGCGAGUGAAGAGGGACAAGCUCAAAUUUUAAAUCUAUCGGGUUUUACCUGAUCGAGUUGUAAUUUGAAGAAGCGUUUUCUGCGUAUUUGGUCAGCCUAAGUCCUAUUGAAUGAGGCAUCAUGGAGGGUGAUAAUCCCGUCCGGUUGAUCAUUUGCGUUUUACGAUACGCUUUCUAAGAGUCAAGUUGUUUGGGAUUGCAGCUUAAAAUGGGAGGUAAAUUUCUCCUAAGGCUAAAUAACGGCGAGAGACCGAUAGCGAACAAGUACCGUGAGGGAAAGAUGAAAAGAACUUUGAAAAGAGAGUUAAACAGUACGUGAAAUUGUUGAAAGGGAAACGAUUGAAGCCAGUCGUACCUUCGGGUAAUCAGCCUUUCGGGUGCGAUUCUGUGGAGUGUGAGGAGCUUAAACACCUUCAUGUUUUGCAUAUUCGUACUCUUGGGUGUACUUGCCCGUGUGGUUGGUUAACAUCAAUUUUGGUGGUCAUAAAAUGACUGGGGGAAUGUAGCUUCGAUCUUGUAUUGAAGUGUUAUAGCCUUCGGUAGAUGUGAUGAUCGAGAUUGAGGAUUGCAACGGAUACCUUUCGGGGCUACCUGUCUGAUCUCUGAUCGUUGCUUUGGUGCUGAAAGCGUGCUUAUAGUUAUCAAAGUCGAUGGUUAAUAGGUUAGAACGGGUUAAAUUCGUUAAGGAUGUUGACGUAAUGGCUUUAAACGAC